rnacentral:rRNA from 1 species
CACGUAGGGCCAAGCGUUUGUCCGGAUUUAUUGGGCGUAAAGAGCUCGUAGGCGGUUGGGUAAGUCGGGUGUGAAAACUCCAGGCUCAACUUGGAGACGCCACCCGAUACUGCUCUGACUUGAGUUCGGUAGGGGAGUGGGGAAUUCCUGGUGUAGCGGUGAAAUGCGCAGAUAUCAGGAGGAACACCGGUGGCGAAGGCGGCCCUCUGGACGGUGACUGACGCUGAGACGCGAAAGCGUGGGGAGCAAACAGG